rnacentral:ncRNA from 1 species
GGCAGGUGCCGCUGCAUGGGCUGCGGAUAAUAGGGAAACAGGUUUGAUGCCUGUGCGAACUCGUCACUGUAUACGGCUUGGUCUGCGCAUAUGCCACUGGGAAACCGGGAAGGCGCGCGGACGGGAUCACCGUGAGCCAGGAGACCUGCCUGCCGG